rnacentral:rRNA from 1 species
AACGAACGCUGGCGGCGUGCCUAACACAUGCAAGUCGAGCGCGAAUGGAGCAAUCCUAGUAGAGCGGCGCACGGGUGCGUAACACGUGGGUAAUCUGCCUCAAAGCCCGGGAUAACCUGCCGAAAGGCAAGCUAAUACCGGAUAAGCCUACGGACUCUUCGGGGUCUGAAGGAAAAGGUGGCCUCUGUAUACAAGCUAUCACUUUGAGAUGAGCCCGCGGCCCAUCAGCUCGUUGGCGGGGUAACGGCCCACCAAGGCAACGACGGGUAGCUGGUCUGAGAGGACGAUCAGCCACACUGGAACUGAGACACGGUCCAGACUCCUACGGGAGGCAGCAGUGGGGAAUUUUGCGCAAUGGGCGAAAGCCUGACGCAGCAACGCCGCG